ACAAGCGGUGGAGCAUGUGGUUUAAUUCGAUGAUACGCGAGGAACCUUACCUGGGCUCAAAUGUAUGUUGACGUAUUCUGAAAGGGAUACUUCUUCGGACAAUAUACAAGGUGCUGCAUGGUUGUCGUCAGCUCGUGCCGUGAGGUGUCGGGUUAAGUCCCAUAACGAGCGCAACCCCUAUCAUUAGUUGCCAUCAGGUCAAGCUGGGGACUCUAAUGAAACUGCCUACGCAAGUAGUGAGGAAGGUGGGGAUGACGUCAAAUCAGCACGGCCCUUACGUCCAGGGCUACACACGUGCUACAAUGGCCGGUACAAAGGGCAGCUACCUGGUGACAGGAUGCUAAUCUCAAAAGCCGGUCUCAGUUCGGAUUGAAGUCUGCAACUCGACUUCAUGAAGCUGGAAUCGCUAGUAAUCGCAGAUCAGCCAAGCUGCGGUGAAUACGUUCCCGGGCCUU
rnacentral:rRNA from 1 species